CAGAAAGUAGUUUAAUUUAAAAUUCCAGCUUUGGGAGUUGGUGAUGAAGGUUUGAUUCCUUUCUUUCUGA
rnacentral:tRNA from 1 species